rnacentral:lncRNA from 1 species
AAGGACAAAGUAAAUAAAGAAAAAUAGCAAAGCAUUUGAAUUAAGAAUGUUUUAAUUAAAAGUGGGACACAAGUUCCUAUAUUUCUCACAAAUUCUUUAUUUUUAUGACUCAGAUGUGUCAAUUCUAAAUAUAACACAAUAAAAACAUGAACCCUUGAUACAACUCUAAAAUCUACUUAAAUACUAUGUACACCAAUAAUUGUCAAUAACGAUUAUAUCUCAGAAAUUUGACACAUAUCUUCUACGUGGGCUUUUGUCUUCUGAUGUGUUUCCACAUUUCCUUGGUUCUCGAACCGCUCCAAACCUCUACUUC